CGUCGGCUGGGAUGGGCGGGACACGAGUGGCUCUUGGAAAAAGCGCGGGGCAAACAAAAUGGCGGCCGUUCGACUGAAAGGGGCGGCUCCACAGAGAUUUGGCCAGGUUAGUGACAGCGAAUUGGUUUGGAGGAACGGCUGCUGUCAGGGCAGGCUUCAGGCGAGAUGGGACAUGAAGGGGUUCCAGCCAUGCCCCGUGGUUCCACAGCUGCUGGAGUGACUUAGCAGUUGGCUAGGCAUACCCUGAACUACAGAAGAUGUAUGCUGGGCCAGAAGCAGGCCUUCUUCCUGCAGACUUGGAAGGAGCUGAUGACAAAGGCCUGCCAACAGUGCUGUGACUGCCAGCGCAGUACCAUACAGAGUGGUCUCUGCUGAGCAUCUCGUUCCUCCAGUGGGAAAAGAGAACCCAAAGGGGACAACCACUCCACCUGUCAGCAUUAAUCAAGUCAGGGGUGCUUCAUGACCAAGGAAGUCAGCAGGGUUCAAAUCUGCCUGAUUCUGAUCCUCAAGUGAGUUUUGCCUGCCCUAGAGCUUGGUUUGCCUGUGCCCAGGGAAGGAGCUGAAUCACAGCCCCAACUGCUGUGGAGUGUCUUCUGCCCCAUCUGAUCAGAAGGACUGGCAACAAUUCCUGGAAGCAGUGUGGCUCAUUGGCACUCCAGCUGACAGGUGGGCAGGCAGAGUUGGUCAUCCCUAGAACAAAGCCACUAUCAGGCAUGUAGUGUUCUUGUACUAUACAUAGGCAGGGGGAUUAAUUCAUAGCAAAGGCUCCAGCUACUAGCAACUGGAGAACCUGUUUUGAAAAUUGAGAGUAGCCUGGAGUAGCUCUUCCACCUCCCACCCAGGCAAAGUUGCUGACACAUAGACCCACCUGCUGUGAAGAGAAAUAUCUUCUGGCCCCAUCUCAUUAGAAGGACUGUAGACAACUCCUGGAAGCUGUGUGGCCCAGCAACACUUGAGCCAAGAGGUGGUCAGACAAAGUCAGUAGUUUGCAGAACAAAGCCACUGGUCCUAUUCAGUCAGGGAACUUGGUGUCUGGAUCAGUUUGAGAUAAGACAACUAAGGAUUUUACCAGCCGUAGAGCUGCUUCUCCCACUGUACCCGGGCAGGGAAUGUAAUUUGUAGCUCUACUCAUCACUGAAUACAGCCUAUCUAUCUGACCAGGGAACCUAACCACAGCAGGAAAGCUGCAAAGCCUAUUCAACAACACUACAUGCAGUGACACUUGAAUAGGCAGCAUAGUCCAUGGCUUUCCCAUCUGUAGAGCAAAACCAGUGGCCUCACUAGAGUAGGAAAUUUAACUCACACUUUGGCUUGGUUCAGAUUCCAAAACAACAAGCUAUACAGGCUCUGGGUCCCAUCCUGCAGCUCUCCCAGGGCAGGGAAGUUAAUUCAUGGCCCCAUCCACUACUGAAUAUUGUAGCCAGUCUCUAUCAUCUGGUAAUCCUGACAAGAGAAUCUAGGCAAGUGUGGAACCUAUCCUACAGCUGCACUUUGGUUGGGGUCCAAGCCAGCAGUUUUAUUCAACUGUUCUCAGCCCAUGGCGUAUCCCUUGUCCCUAUCCUCAGAGCUUGAACAGUUGUUUCACCCAAAAGUGGACCAUAAAAGCAGGCUUCACCUAUCUAAGUACAUUAAAAAUAAAUAUGACCAGAAACCCAAACUAAAGUGACUGGUGAAGAACUGUCUCUGCCAAAGCAAACCAGUAACAUCUGGUAGAGUCUGAUUACUCAAAUGUGCAGAUGCCAAUGGAAGGAACCAAGGAUCAUGAAAAGUCACGUAUAUAUGACACAUCAAAGAAAUCUAGUAAAGCUGCAAUAACUGUAAAGAAAUGGAGAUCUGUGAACUGUCAGACAAAGAAUUCAGAAUGAACUUCUUAGGAAGUUUGGUGAACUACAAGUGGACAACAAAAUGAGAUUAGCAAAACAAUGCAUGAAUGAAAUGACAAGUUUGACAAGGAAAUAGCAGCCAUCAAAAACAAAAAUGAAAUCCUAGAGUUGAAAAAUACAGUUACCCACCUGAAGAAUUCAAUAGAGAGUUUCAAAAGUGGACUUGACCAUGCAGAAGAAUGAGUAAUUUGAAGGAUAGGACAUUGGAAAGUAUCCAGAGGAGCAAAAAGAAAAAAGAAUGAGCAAGAGUGAAGAAAGCUGACAGCAAUAAGACAAUGAAAAAAUGAUACUUGCAUUAUGGGAAUUCCAGAAAGAUAAGAGAAAGAGAAUGUGACAUAAAGUAUAUUUAAAGCAAUAAUGGCUAAAAACUUCCUGAACCUAGGGAGAGAAUUAGAUAUCUAGAUCCAUGAGGCCCAAAGGACUCCAAAUAGGUUGAACUUGAAUAGGGCUACACCAAGACACAUUAUAAUUAAAUUGGCAAAAGUCAAAGACAAAGAAUUUCAAGAGCAGUAAGAGAAAAGAGACAUUACAUACAUGGAAACCUCUCAUAAGACUAUAGACAGAUUUCUCAACAGAAACUUUUUAGGCCAGGAAAGAAUGGGAUGACAUUUUCAAAAUAUUGAAAGAAAGAAUAAUUGUCAGCCAAGAAUUCUAUAUCCAAUGAAACUAUUCUUCAGAAGUGAACAAGGUACAAAGUCCUGAACAAACAAAAAUUGAGGGAGUUCAUUACUAUCAGACCUGCCUUAUAAGAAAUGCUAAAGUGAGUUUUUUGGUGAAAAUAAAAGAGCACUAACAUCAUAAAAACAAAAAUACAGUGUAAAUUUCAUAGGUAAUGGUAAAUAUAUAGUCAUAGUUAGAGUCUGCAAUAUUGUAGUAGUAGUGAAUAAUUCAUUUAAAACUCUAGUUUAAAAAUUAAAAAAUGAAUACAGUAAAAAUAACCAUAACUAUAAUAACCUGUUGUUAGUUAGACAAUAUAAAAAUAUGGAUAUUGUAACAUAAUAACCUAAAAUGUGAGAAGUAAAAGUAUAAAGUUUAUAAAUUCUAUUGACACUCUUAUCAGUUUAAAAUAAGGUGUUACAAGUUUAAGAUAUUUUAUAUAAGCUUUAUGGUUACCACAAAGGAAAAUCCUGUAGUAAUUACACAAAAGAACAUGAUAAAGAAGUCAAAGCAUAUUGAUAUCAAAAGACAUCAACACACCAAAAAAGAUAGCAAGAUAAACAAGGAAUAGUGGAUCUACAAAACAACUAGGAAACAACGUACAAAAUGAUAAUAGGAAGUUCUUACCUAGCAAUAAUUUUUUAAACAAAAAUGGGUAAAAUUCUCCAGUUAGAAUACAUUGAAUGGUGCAAUGGAUUAAAAAAUAAAAACAAGAUCCAGCAAUAUACUGCUUACUAGAGACUCACUUAAGCCGUAAAGACACACAGAGACUGAGUGAAGAGAUAGAAAAAAACAUUUCAAGCAAAAGGUAACCAAAAAAAAAAGCAAGCGUAGUUAUACUUCUAUCAGACAAACCAGACUUUAAACUAAAAUUGGUAAAAAGAGACAAAGAAGGUCAUUAUAUAAUGAUAAAGGAGUCAGAAAUUAAGAAGAUAUAACAGUUGUAGAUAUUUAUGCACCCAGCGUUGGAUCACAUAAAUAUAUAAAAUAAAAACUAACAGAGAUAAAAGGAGAAAUAAAUGGUAACAUAAUAAUAGUUGGGGGCUUUAAUACUCUAUUGUUAACAACGGAUAGAUCAUCCAGAGAGAGGAUCAGUAAGGAAACAGUAUUUGAACAACAGUGUAGGCAAAAUGGACCUAACAGACACAGAACAUUCUAUUCAACCACAGCAGGAUACACAUUAUUCUCAACUGCACAGGGAACGUUUUCUAGGAUGGACCAUGUUUUAAGCUCAAAAAAGUCUUAACAAAUUCAAGAAGAUUGGAAUCAUACCAAGUAUCUUUUCUGACUAUAACAGCAUGAAGCCAGGAAAAAAUAAGAGGAAACCUGGAAAAUUCAUGAAUACAUGGAAAUUAUAUAAAACUUUUCUGAACAAUCAGUGGAUCAAAGAACAAAUUAAAGGGGGAAUACCAAAAGUUUUUUUUGAGACAAAUGAAAAUAAAAACAUAACAUACCAGAACUUGUGGGAUGCAGCAAAAGCAGGUCUAAGAGGGAAGAUCGUAGCAAUAAAUGCUUAUGUUAAGAAGCAAGGAAGAUCACACAUAAACAAUCUAACUCUACACCUAAAGGAACUAGAAAAAGAAGAACUGAGCCCAAAGUUAGAAGAAAGAAGAUAAUAAAGAUUAGAGCAAAUAUAAAUGAAACAGAGAACAGAAAAACAUUAGAAAAGAUUAACCAAACUACGAGUUGAUUCUUUGAAAAGAUAAAAAAAAAAAAACAAAAAAACCAAAAAAAAAAACAAAAAAAACAAACCUGACAAAAGCUUGGCUAGACUAACCAAGGAAGAAAGAGAAAGGACUCAAAUCUAUAAAAUUAUAAAUGAAAAAAGAGACAUUACAACUGAUAUCACACAAAAAUUCAAAGGAUCAUAAGAGGCUACUAUAAACAACUAUAUGCCAACAAACUGGAGAACCUAGAAGAAAUGGAAAAAUUCUAGAAACAUACAACUCACCAAAACUGAAUCAAAAAGAAAUAGAAAAUCUGAAGAGACCAAUUAUUAGUAAGAAGAUUGAGUCAAUAAUAAAAAAUCUCUCAAUGAAGAAAAGCUCAGGACCAGAUGGCUUCACCGCUAAAUUUCACCAAACAUUUAAAGAACACUCCCAAACUCAUUUUGUGAGGCCAGCAUUAUCCUGAAAUGAAAACCAGAAAAGGACACUAUUAGAAAAGAACACUAUAGGCCAAUAUUGCUGAUAAAUAUAGUUGCAAAAAUUCUCAGUAAAAUACUAGCAAACCAAAUUUAGCAGCACAUGAAAAGGAUCGUGAUCAAACACAUUAAAAAGCAUCAUGAUCAAGUGGGACUCAUCCCUGGAAUACAAUGAUGGUUCAACAUAUGGAAAUUAAUAGAAUUUAUAUCACAUUAAUAGAAUGAAAGAAAAGAAACAUAUGAUCCUCUCAAUAGAUGCAGAAAAAGCAUUUGACAAUAUUCAACAUCCAUUCAUGAUAAGAACUCUUAACAAAUUACACAUGAAAGGAACAUAUCUCAACAUGAUAAAAGGCCAUAUAUGACGAACACAGCUAACAUUAUAAUCAGUGUUGAAAGGUUGAAUGCUUUUCCUCUAAGAUCAAGAAGAAGACAAAGGUACCCAUUCUCCCUUCUCCUAUUCAAGAUAGUUAACUUGGAGAUCCUAGCUAGAGCAAUUAGGCAAGAAAGAGAAAUAAAAUAUCAGAAUUAGAAAGGAAGGGGUGCCUGGCUGGCUCAUUUGGUAGAGCAUGUGACUCUUGACCUUUGGGUUGUGAGUUCAGGCCCCACAUUGGGCAUAGAGCUUACUAAAAACAAAACAAAAAAGAUUUGGGAAGAAGUAAAAUUGUCUCUAUUUGCAGAUGACAUGAUUUUAUAUACAGAAAAUCCUAAAGACUCAACCAAAAACUGUUAGAUCUAAUCACUGAAGUCAGUAAAGUUGUGGGAUACAGAAUUAACAUGUGAAAGUCAGUCAUGUUUCUAUACACUAACAAUGAAUUUUAUGAAAAAGAAAUCAAUCCCAUUUAUAGUAACAUCAAAAACAUAAAAUACUUGGGAAUACAUUUUGCAAAGGAGAUGAAAAACUUUGCUUUGAAAGCUAUAAGACAUUGAUGAAAGAAAAGAAAGAGGACAAAAUAAAUGGAAAACUAUCACAUAUUCCAUGGAUUGGAAGAAUUAAUAUUGUUAAAAUGUGAUUACUACCAAAAACCAUCUGUGGAUUUAAUGCAAUCCCUAUCAUGAUUCUCAUGGCAUUUUUUUUUACAGACAUAGAAAAAACAUUCCUAAAAUUUAUAUGGAACUACAAAAGACUCCAAAUACCCAAAGAAAUCUUGAGAAAGGAGAACAAAGCAGAAGGCAUCACAUUUCCUGAUUUUGAGAAAUACUAUAAAGCUAUAGUCAUCAAAAACAGUAUGGUAUUGGCAUAAGAACAGUCUAUAUGGACUCAGUAUGGCUGGGAAAUGUAGUUGGGUUAAAUGAAAUUUAGGAUAUUUUUGUUAUUUAUUUACAAUCUAAUUAGGAAAAUAAAAAAAGAUUCUGAGAAAACAGUGAGUAGUUAUUAAGUUACAUACUAUGUCAUACAAUCACUGGUUGUACAGGGUACAAUCUGUGCAAUCGAAUCUGUAUGAGUACAGAAUCGAUUAAUAUGAGCUGAAGUAGUACAUCUGUGGUUCCUGAGAUAAAUAAUAAAUUACUAUUCCAGUAUCUUCCCAGACUGGCUAUUUUAUUGAAGGUCAUAUUCCUCUUGUCACAUAUUGGAAAUUCCAUCUAUAAUUUUUAUUUUAACUUUUUCCUCCCUUUUCCAAUGACAUAAUCUUACCCUAACCACCCACCAAAGAAAACAACACAGGAUUCUUUGUAGUGUGCUGAUGGCAUUUUGAAAACAAAAGGACAUGGCACAUACAACUAAGCUGAAUAUCUGGAUAUCUGCAUGAUGCUGUAUCUGUGGUCCUUUGGACAAGAAUUGCAUGCCUCCAUCUUGGGAAUCAGUGUACCAGUCCUAGAGUGAAGGAGUCUUUGGACUUUGUAACUGGUCUCCUUGGCAGAAUUUUGUUUUUGAAUGGAAAAAAAAGAACCUGAGAAAGAUGUGUGUGUGUGUGUGUGUGUGUGUGUGUGUGUGUGUGUGUGUGUAUACAGUGGUGGUAAUGGUGAAUUUCACAGAUGGGGAAGAAUUCUGAAGAGCUCUUUCCUGGUAACAUUGAGUAAGCAAGGAAGUCUUUGUCUUUUAGCUUUUUGAAUGAUAAUCAGAGAUAGGCUGCUGGAACUACCAUCUGGUACCUAGGUAGUCAGAUGCUAUGUUGCAAAACUCUUUUAUUCACCAGGCUGGACCAGAUUGUAGUAACAAGCCACUCCAAAAUCUGAAUGGUUUAAAUAACAAAGGAGUAUUUCUUGCUCCCACUGCGUGUCCACCAUGGGUCACCAGAGGGCUUUGACAACAUUGUUGUCCUUACUCUGGGACCUAGAUUGACAAAGUACCUAUCAUUUAGAAUACUGCUGGUCAAAAUGGUAGUGGGGGAAAAACAACUCUGUAGGGUCUAGCAUCUGUAUCACUCUUUGGCUUAGAAUAACUCAAAUCAAUCCUGACAGUUUAGGAUUUAAUGAAGUUUUAUAAGGAAAAAAAAUCCAUUGAGAUAACUACAGGAUUUUAUAUUUAGAACCUCAAAUUUGCUUGCCUAGAAUGAGGGUGUGUGCAAGAAGAACUGAAGGCUCAAUAUGAAUGAGCCAGUAGUGUUAUAUGACAGCCAAAAAGCUACAGUGAUUUCAGGUUAGAGUAAUAACAUCCAUAGCAAAAUUGGUCCAUAGUUGUUCCACUAUACUUCCUGUUAAACCAUUCCAGAGGUAUCUGUUCAGAUUUGGUACCAUACUUGGAAUGAUACUCAUAAAGAAAAAUGAGUUUAGGGGUGCCUAGGUGGCUCAGUCGGUUAAGCGUCUGACUGAGCU